GGGCGUGCGCCCAUUUGUAAUUACCAAAGAGUGUGGGAGUUAUACGUACAUAUGUAUUCAUAUUUCUGCACGUUCUGCUGUGUAAUCCACAACUAUUGACUUUGAUUUGGUGUAUUGAAAGCACUUACCAGUUCGCGAUUUAUUAGACGAGAGUAUACAGUGUCAUAAAGCUCAUCUUUAAUUAGUUACCUGCCUACUACUUGGAACACCGAUUUAAAAAUAAUAACAUUUCUUUUCAACGGUGAUCAUCUUUCGAGAGCGAUCUGAAGCUGCUAGCAUAUAGUAUCAACGGACGGAGCGAUUCUGCUUGUAAGGAAAAUUCAGUGUGG